UACGUAGGCAGCAAGCGUUGUUCGGAAUUACUGGGCGUAAAGGGUGCGUAGGCGGCGCGGUAAGUCGGAUGUGAAAUCUCGGAGCUUAACUCCGAAACUGCAUUCGAUACUGCCGUGCUUGAGGACUGGAGAGGAGACUGGAAUUUACGGUGUAGCGGUGAAAUGCGUAGAUAUCGUAAGGAAGACCAGUGGCGAAGGCGGGUCUCUGGACAGUUCCUGACGCUGAGGCACGGAGGCCAGGGGAGCAAACGGG
rnacentral:rRNA from 1 species